rnacentral:rRNA from 1 species
CCUACGGUGGGCAGCAGUGGGGAAUAUUGCACAAUGGGGGAAACCCUGAUGCAGCGACGCCGCGUGAGUGAAGAAGUAUUUCGGUAUGUAAAGCUCUAUCAGCAGGGAAGAAAAUGACGGUACCUGAUUCAGAAGCCCCGGCUAACUACGUGCCAGCAGCCGCGGUAAUACGUAGGGGGCAAGCGUUAUCCGGAUUUACUGGGUGUAAAGGGAGCGUAGACGGCAGCACAAGUCUGGAGUGAACUGCCGGGGCUUAACCCCGGAACUGCAUUGGAAACUGUGCAGCUAGAGUACAGGAGAGGUAAGUGGAAUUCCGAGUGUAGCGGUGAAAUGCGUAGAUAUUAGGAGGAACACCAGUGGCGAAGGCGGCUUACUGGACUGUAACUGACGUUGAGGCUCGAAAGCGUGGGGAGCAAACAGGAUUAGAUACCCGAGUAGUC